rnacentral:lncRNA from 1 species
AUGUUAAGGCCAUUCUGUUGUGCUGGUGCAGGGAGACCCAGGCCAAUGGGGCGCUGCAGGGAAGAGGGGGGAGGAGGGAUCCAGAGGAAAGCCUGGAGACAGGGGGAGCAUGGGGCCAAAGGGAUCUCGUGGGCCCAAAGGGCUUCGAGGUCAUCUUGGUCAUGCAGGGCGUCAUGGUCAGACUGGAGAACCUGGACUUCCUGGACAAGUGUAUAUCCUACCAGGCAUGGAGGGAGAAACAGGAAACCCAGGUCCUCCAGCCACAUGCAACUGUUCACAGGUUCAGACCCCACAACGAUUGGUGGACAGAGUGCACACGGUCAGUGUCACACUCUGGUUAAACUGUAUUACUCUGCUGGGGAGUAA